rnacentral:rRNA from 1 species
UAUACGAUGAAGAGUUUGAUCCUGGCUCAGGAUGAACGCUAGCGGCAGGCUUAACACAUGCAAGUCGAGGGGUAUAUGUC